rnacentral:rRNA from 1 species
CCUACGGGGGGCAGCAGUGGGGAAUCUUGCGCAAUGGGCGAAAGCCUGACGCAGCGACGCCGCGUGUGGGAUGAAGGCCUUCGGGUCGUAAACCACUGUCGCGAGGGACGAAUAAAUUGACGGUACCUCGAAAGGAAGCACCGGCUAACUCUGUGCCAGCAGCCGCGGUAAUACAGAGGGUGCGAGCGUUGUCCGGAAUCACUGGGCGUAAAGGGCGCGUAGGCGGUUUUGUAAGUUGGGGGUGAAAUGCUGCGGCUCAACCGCAGCGCUGCCCUCAAGACUGCAAGACUUGAGCACGGUAGAGGCGGAUGGAAUUCCCGGUGUAGCGGUGGAAUGCGUAGAGAUCGGGAAGAACACCAAUGGCGAAGGCAGUCCGCUGGGCCGUUGCUGACGCUGAGGCGCGACAGCGUGGGGAGCAAACAGGAUUAGAUACCCUUGUAGUC